GUGGUUCUGAAGCCAGUGGUUCUGGUUUGGGAAAUACUGAUAUAGUGCAUACCUGUUGUUUAAACACACAAUGUUAUCGCUAAAGACUGAGUGAUGAUCAUUUUCCAUAGGUGUUCUUUUGAGAAUACAAAAAACAAUAAGACUUGUUUGUUUUUAUUCUUGAUAUAGUCUUGUGACUUGCCCAUGGCAUGGGGUAGGCAACUUUCGGCUCUCUAGAUGUUGUAGUCUACAUCUUCCAUAAUGUUCUUCUAGCCUUAAUGCUGGCAAAGCAUAAUGGGAGCUGUUGUCCACAACAUCGAGAGAGCCAGAGUGGAUUCAGGAAAGCUGGAAAAAUGUUUGUUGGCUUGACCUAUAUUUUUAUUAGGUGGAGUUAUUUAGGCCAUGAUCUACAAACCUGCAGGAGUGUUUUUGUUUAUUUUGUAGCGGCUCUUUAAAGCAAAUGGUUCAAUUAUCGCAUUGAUGUUGUGGUCAGCAAGUACGUUUAUGCGGUCCCUCGAGAACUGCUGCUGUGUGAAGUUUUGUUUCUCUCUGAAAGUUGUUGGGAUUAGCUAGUAAGAUGGUCACGUGUUUCCAACCCACAGGUGUCCCCUGGGACAAUGGAAAUGAGAUCAGAGAGAUAAUGAGGGCGCAGGAAAUCCCAGAUCACAGACUGCAUUGACAAAGAGAGCAGGAUAAAAACAUAAUAAAAGACUGAGCCGCACCCUGACUACGCUUCCCUCAUCUUCUGAAUGGAUAGCGGGGGCCACUGUGACAGGGUACACGUCAAAGAUCCUGCAGUAUGAUCGACAUCAGAAAGACAAUAAACUCAAGCUGUAAACUGAUUUGAGGGUGAUAUUAAUUGAUUACAUUAUUGCUUUGCUAAUGUUUGAAAAAAAACAACUGCCUCUAGACAUCUGCUAUCAACAGGGACCUAUGUAUCACUUUUUUGUUAGAGACCUAAAGUGCCUUGCUUUAGAAAGCAAUGCAAGCCAUUUUGUUAGGAAUAAAGCACGUUUUCUUAAGUCCCUUUAAGAAAUUGCUUCCUAUAGAUGGUAUGCGUACAGGAAAUCCUGCAUACUUUCUAUAUGACUCCUUUCUGAGUCGUACUCUGACAGAGAAUGCAGUAAGGGCAGAGGCUUGUUAUAUUCACUGCAGCUUUUACCCAUGUAGUUCAGAAAGUGCCAGGGAGAAGGAAUCGAAUAAAUAGAGGGAGAAUCGUUAUGUAGUUUAAUGGUCGCUAAUGCUACCCUACAGUAUUAGACGUUUGUGUUUUGGGGUUCUCAUGUAAACAAUUGCAGCCUUUGUGCUGUAGGAACAUGAUCAAUGAGGUGAUUUUUAUGAAAGUUUUAACAUUUUAAUAGAAGCUAAGUAGGUUUAUGGUAUAGAAAUUGGUUUUGAUAUGUGGUUGAUAAAGAAAUGAAUAAAAGCAAGUGGAAAAAUAAUCUGUAUUGAAAAGGUGGACAAUAAAGAGAGACUAGCUAAAAAGAGAAACACACUUUGCCUUGUAUGAAAGAGUCUUUUGAAAUAUUCAUAAAUGUGGGUGUAAACGUUUCCACAGCUAGACAGAUGGUUAAAAUUAUAUGCAUACAUAUUGUUUUUCCGAAGUCUAGGGAGCCAUUUUAUUUUGUGCUUUCUGAUUAGAAAGUGGUUUGUGUGGAAGAAAACAAAUACAUUGAGUUUAAUGUCAAGUAUCUAAAGUUUUUGUAUCAAAGAUUGGUAAAACCUAUUUAUUAGAUAUUACUAUAAUGUGUGGGGGAUUUUUUUUUUUUUUUUUUUUUUAACAUAGGGGUACCUUACUUGCCCCAUUAGUUUUAUCAGUAGAGGUAAUAUCCUGUUUAUGGUAGUGUGUUUUUUUUUUUAAACAAAAGAUGUACUAUUUAAAUGGGGGAGUGUAUGUAAGCCUUUUGUGGGAAACUGGUAAGUAGUGUGAGGUUAAGCUCAGGAGCAAAUACAUUAGUAAGUAAAUGGCAAUCGUGAAGAAAUGUUUGUUAAAUCAUGUGCUGAAUGCUAGAGUCCUCAGGAGCAAAUUGCAAGUUUCUUUGAAGUCUGAGUUUUUUUUGAUCAUUUUUAUUAAGGUCUUCCUUUAAACAGUGUCUUAGAAGGAUUUAAUUACCAAAGCAAGACACUAUAUAUAUAUAUAUAUAUUUAUAUAUAUAUAUAUAUUCUGUUUUUUAUGUGGUUGGCGGAUUAUGGAUGUUAUAUAAUAGUUAUCCUCUGGUUUUCAGUGCAUGAAUCUCAAAAUUGCCACCUACUGCAAAUCUAAUUACAUUUUCGGGGAGUGGGGUGGUGAGUCAAAAUAUUUGCUUAAAAUCCUGCUUCUACCUCAUUUCAGUGCUUCGACUUGCAGGAUUUCCACUUAAGAUCUUAUUUGUGGUAAUUACUGAGGUCCCAACUCCAAACUUUAAAUUACAGAGUGUUGUAUUUUUAUUUAUUCUUAAUAUGAGUACAGACAACUCAUUUAUAAAUGUACAUAUGUAUUCAGAGAGUAUAUCUUGAAAGAAAAUCCUCGGUGGAACCUGAACUUGGAAGGCCACAGAUAGUGAGGUUUAUUUGAGAGAGGACGUCAAGAGUGCAGGCAACAACACAACACGUUUCAUAUAUUUUGGCCUAAAUACUUAACUGUUCUUUUCUUCUUGACUAAUUGUGUAAAACAAAUGUUAUGCA